UUGAACGUGAAUUGAUUAUGUUUGGAUACACUUCAAUAGAAGUGAUUCUUAUGAGUUGAUGUUGUUUGAAUAG
rfam:Medicago truncatula strain A17 chromosome 3, whole genome shotgun sequence.